CAGCCGCCACGGUAAUACGUAGGUGGCAAGCGUUGUCCGGCAUUAUUGGGCGUAAAGGGCUCGCAGGCGGUUUCUUAAGUCUGAUGUGAAAGCCCCCGGCUCAACCGGGGAGGGUCAUUGGAAACUGGGAAACUUGAGUGCAGAAGAGGAGAGUGGAAUUCCACGUGUAGCGGUGAAAUGCGUAGAGAUGUGGAGGAACACCAGUGGCGAAGGCGACUCUCUGGUCUGUAACUGACGCUGAGGAGCGAAAGCGUGGGGAGCGAACAGGAUUAGAUACCCGUGUAGUCCCUGUCUCUUAUAC
rnacentral:rRNA from 1 species